CCUACGGGUGGCAGCAGUGGGGAAUAUUGGGCAAUGGAGGCAAGUCUGACCCAGCAACGCCGCGUGAAGGAAGAAGGCUUUCGGGUUGUCAAAUUCUUUUAAGGGGGAAGAGCAGAAGACGGUACCCCUUUAAUAAGCCACGGCUAACUACGUGCCAGCAGCCGCGGUAAUACGUAGGUGGCAAGCGUUGUCCGGAUUUACUGGGUGUAAAGGGCGUGCAGCCGGGGGGACAAGUCAGAUGUGAACGCCACGGGCUCAACCCGGGAACUGCAUGUGAAACUGUUUCCCUUGAGUGUCGGAGAGGUAAUCGGAAUUCCGAGUGUAGCGGUGAAAUGCGUAGAUAUUAGGAAGAACACCAGUGGCGAAGGCGGAUUACUGGACGAUAACUGACGGUGAGGCGCGAAAGCGUGGGGAGCAAACAGGAUUAGAUACCCCUGUAGUC
rnacentral:rRNA from 1 species